rnacentral:rRNA from 1 species
GACGAACGCUGGCGGCGUGCCUAAUACAUGCAAGUAGAACGCACAGUUUAUACCGUAGCUUGCUACACCAUAGACUGUGAGUUGCGAAUGGGUGAGUAACGCGUAGGUAACCUGCCGGGGAGCGGGGGAUAACUAUUUGAAACGAUAGCUAAUACCGCAUAAUUUUAAUUAUAUCAGGAUAAUUAGUUCAAAGGUGCAACUGCAACACUAACAUGUGGACCUGCGUUGUAUUAGCUAGUAGGUGAGGUAACGGCUCACCUAGGCGACGAUACAUAGCCGACCUGAGAGGGUGAUCGGCCACACUGGGACUGAGACACGGCCCAGACUCCUACGGGAGGCAGCAGUAGGGAAUCUUCGGCAAUGGACGGAAGUCUGACCGAGCAACGCCGCGUGAGUGAAGAAGGUUUUCGGAUCGUAAAGCUCUGUUGUAAGAGAAGAACGGGUGUGAGAGUGGAAAGUUCACACUGUGACGGUAUCUUACCAGAAAGGGACGGCUAACUACGUG